GUGUUUGGUCCUCGGGUGCUGCAGGAGACAUCUCAAAUAUGGGUGUUUCUGGAAAUACAGCACUCAGUAGUGAAACUGAAGGUCUCCAAACUUCCAAGUUAUGUUCCUGUUUUUUAUGUAAUAUCCCCAUUGUUUCAUAUCCUGUAUUUUAAG